rnacentral:rRNA from 1 species
UGGGGAAUAUUGCACAAUGGGGGAAACCCUGAUGCAGCGACGCCGCGUGGAGGAAGAAGGUCUUCGGAUUGUAAACUCCUGUUGUUGGGGAAGAUAAUGACGGUACUCAACAAGGAAGUGACGGCUAACUACGUGCCAGCAGCCGCGGUAAAACGUAGGUCACAAGCGUUGUCCGGAAUUACUGGGUGUAAAGGGAGCGCAGGCGGGAGAACAAGUUGGAAGUGAAAUCCAUGGGCUCAACCCAUGAACUGCUUUCAAAACUGUUUUUCUUGAGUAGUGCAGAGGUAGGCGGAAUUCCCGGUGUAGCGGUGGAAUGCGUAGAUAUCGGGAGGAACACCAGUGGCGAAGGCGGCCUACUGGGCACCAACUGACGCUGAGGCUCGAAAGUGUGGGUAGCAAACAGGAUUAGAUACCCUGGUAGUCCACACCGUAAACGAUGAUUACUAGGUGUUGGGGGAUUGACCCCUUCAGUGCCGCAGUUAACACAAUAAGUAUCCCACCUGGGGAGUACGGCCGCAAGGUUGAAACUCAAAGGAAUUGACGGGGGCCCGCACAAGCAGUGGAGUAUGUGGUUUAAUUCGAAGCAACGCGAAGAACCUUACCAGGCCUUGACAUCCCGAUGACCGGUCUAGAGAUAGACCUUCUCUUCGGAGCAUCGGUGACAGGUGGUGCAUGGUUGUCGUCAGCUCGUGUCGUGAGAUGUUGGGUUAAGUCCCGCAACGAGCGCAACCCUUACGGUUAGUUGAUACGCAAGAUCACUCUAGCCGGACUGCCGUUGACAAAACGGAGGAAGGUGGGGACGACGUCAAAUCAUCAUGCCCCUUAUGGCCUGGGCUACACACGUACUACAAUGGCAGUCAUACAGAGGGAAGCAAAAUCGCGAGGUGGAGCAAAUCCCUAAAAGCUGUCCCAGUUCAGAUUGCAGGCUGCAACCCGCCUGCAUGAAGUCGGAAUUGCUAGUAAUCGCGGAUCAGCAUGCCGCGGUGAAUACGUUCCC